AGAGUUUGAUCCUGGCUCAGGAUGAACGCUGGCGGCGUGCCUAAUACAUGCAAGUCGAGCGAACGGACGAGAAGCUUGCUUCUCUGAUGUUAGCGGCGGACGGGUGAGUAACACGUGGAUAACCUACCUAUAAGACUGGGAUAACUUCGGGAAACCGGAGCUAAUACCGGAUAAUAUUUUGAACCGCAUGGUUCAAAAGUGAAAGACGGUCUUGCUGUCACUUAUAGAUGGAUCCGCGCUGCAUUAGCUAGUUGGUAAGGUAACGGCUUACCAAGGCAACGAUGCAUAGCCGACCUGAGAGGGUGAUCGGCCACACUGGAACUGAGACACGGUCCAGACUCCUACGGGAGGCAGCAGUAGGGAAUCUUCCGCAAUGGGCGAAAGCCUGACGGAGCAACGCCGCGUGAGUGAUGAAGGUCUUCGGAUCGUAAAACUCUGUUAUUAGGGAAGAACAUAUGUGUAAGUAACUGUGCACAUCUUGACGGUACCUAAUCAGAAAGCCACGGCUAACUACGUGCCAGCAGCCGCGGUAAUACGUAGGUGGCAAGCGUUAUCCGGAAUUAUUGGGCGUAAAGCGCGCGUAGGCGGUUUUUUAAGUCUGAUGUGAAAGCCCACGGCUCAACCGUGGAGGGUCAUUGGAAACUGGAAAACUUGAGUGCAGAAGAGGAAAGUGGAAUUCCAUGUGUAGCGGUGAAAUGCGCAGAGAUAUGGAGGAACACCAGUGGCGAAGGCGACUUUCUGGUCUGUAACUGACGCUGAUGUGCGAAAGCGUGGGGAUCAAACAGGAUUAGAUACCCUGGUAGUCCACGCCGUAAACGAUGAGUGCUAAGUGUUAGGGGGNNNNNNNNNNNNNNNNNNNNNNNNNGGGGGUUUCCGCCCCUUAGUGCUGCAGCUAACGCAUUAAGCACUCCGCCUGGGGAGUACGACCGCAAGGUUGAAACUCAAAGGAAUUGACGGGGACCCGCACAAGCGGUGGAGCAUGUGGUUUAAUUCGAAGCAACGCGAAGAACCUUACCAAAUCUUGACAUCCUUUGACAACUCUAGAGAUAGAGCUUUCCCCUUCGGGGACAAAGUGACAGGUGGUGCAUGGUUGUCGUCAGCUCGUGUCGUGAGAUGUUGGGUUAAGUCCCGCAACGAGCGCAACCCUUAAGCUUAGUUGCCAUCAUUAAGUUGGGCACUCUAAGUUGACUGCCGGUGACAAACCGGAGGAAGGUGGGGAUGACGUCAAAUCAUCAUGCCCCUUAUGAUUUGGGCUACACACGUGCUACAAUGGACAAUACAAAGGGCAGCGAAACCGUGAGGUCAAGCAAAUCCCAUAAAGUUGUUCUCAGUUCGGAUUGUAGUCUGCAACUCGACUACAUGAAGCUGGAAUCGCUAGUAAUCGUAGAUCAGCAUGCUACGGUGAAUACGUUCCCGGGUCUUGUACACACCGCCCGUCACACCACGAGAGUUUGUAACACCCGAAGCCGGUGGAGUAACCUUUUAGGAGCUAGCCGUCGAAGGUGGGACAAAUGAUUGGGGUGAAGUCGUAACAAGGUAGCCGUAUCGGAAGGUGCGGCUGGAUCACCU
rnacentral:rRNA from 1 species